rnacentral:rRNA from 1 species
UAGUCCUGGCCGUAAACGAUGAACACUAGGUGUCGGGGGAAUCGACCCCCUCGGUGUCGUAGCCAACGCGUUAAGUGUUCCGCCUGGGGAGUACGCACGCAAGUGUGAAACUCAAAGGAAUUGACGGGGGCCCGCACAAGCGGUGGAGUAUGUGGUUUAAUUCGAUGCAACGCGAAGAACCUUACCAGGGUUUGACAUCCUGCGAAUCUCUUGGAAACAGGAGAGUGCCUUCGGGAACGCAGUGACAGGUGGUGCAUGGCUGUCGUCAGCUCGUGUCGUGAGAUGUUGGGUUAAGUCCCGCAACGAGCGCAACCCACGUCUUUAGUUGCCAGCAUUUAGUUGGGCACUCUAGAGAGACUGCCGGUGAUAAACCGGAGGAAGGUGUGGAUGACGUCAAGUCAUCAUGCCCCUUACAUCCUGGGCUACACACGUACUACAAUGCUACGGACAAAGGGCUGCAAGUUCGCGAGGACAAGCAAAUCCCAUAAACCGUGGCUCAGUUCAGAUCGUAGGCUGCAACUCGCCUACGUGAAGGCGGAAUCGCUAGUAAUCGCAGGUCAGCAUACUGCGGUGAAUACGUUCCCGGGCCUUGUACACACCGCCCGUCACACCAUGGAAGUUGGCCACGCCCGAAGCCGUUACUCCAACCCUUGUGGAGGAGGACGUCGAAGGUGGGGCUGAUGACUGGGGUGAAGUCGUAACAAGGUAACCGUA